UACAGAGGGUGCAAGCGUUAAUCGGAAUUACUGGGCGUAAAGCGUGCGCAGACGGUUGCGUAAGUCAGAUGUGAAAGCCCCGGGCUCAACCUGGGAAUUGCGUUGGAGACUGCAAGGCUUGAAUCUGGCAGAGGGGGGUAGAAUUCCACGUGUAGCAGUGAAAUGCGUAGAGAUGUGGAGGAACACCGAUGGCGAAGGCAGCCCCCUGGGUCAAGAUUGACGCUCAUGCACGAAAGCGUGGGGAGCAAACAGG
rnacentral:rRNA from 1 species